rnacentral:rRNA from 1 species
UCCUACGGGAGGCAGCAGUGGGGAAUAUUGCACAAUGGGCGCAAGCCUGAUGCAGCAACGCCGCGUGAGGGACGAAGGCCUUCGGGUUGUAAACCUCUUUUAGUAGGGAAGAAGCGACUGGGUUUUCCUGGGAGUGACGGUACCUGCAGAAAAAGCACCGGCUAACUACGUGCCAGCAGCCGCGGUAAUACGUAGGGUGCAAGCGUUGUCCGGAAUUAUUGGGCGUAAAGAGCUCGUAGGCGGUUUGUCGCGUCUGCUGUGAAAACCCGAGGCUCAACCUCGGGCCUGCAGUGGGUACGGGCAGACUAGAGUGCGGUAGGGGAGAUUGGAAUUCCUGGUGUAGCGGUGGAAUGCGCAGAUAUCAGGAGGAACACCAAUGGCGAAGGCAGAUCUCUGGGCCGUAACUGACGCUGAGGAGCGAAAGCAUGGGGAGCGAACAGGAUUAGAUACCCUGGUAGUCCAUGCCGUAAACGUUGGGAACUAGAUGUGGGGACCAUUCCACGGUCUCCGUGUCGCAGCUAACGCAUUAAGUUCCCCGCCUGGGGAGUACGGCCGCAAGGCUAAAACUCAAAGGAAUUGACGGGGGCCCGCACAAGCGGCGGAGCAUGCGGAUUAAUUCGAUGCAACGCGAAGAACCUUACCAAGGCUUGACAUAUACCGGAAACGGCUGGAAACAGUCGCCCUGCAAGGUCGGUAUACAGGUGGUGCAUGGUUGUCGUCAGCUCGUGUCGUGAGAUGUUGGGUUAAGUCCCGCAACGAGCGCAACCCUCGUCCUAUGUUGCCAGCACGUAAUGGUGGGAACUCAUGGGAUACUGCCGGGGUCAACUCGGAGGAAGGUGGGGAUGACGUCAAAUCAUCAUGCCCCUUAUGUCUUGGGCUUCACGCAUGCUACAAUGGCCGGUACAAAGGGCUGCGAUACCGCAAGGUGGAGCGAAUCCCAAAAAGCCGGUCUCAGUUCGGAUUGAGGUCUGCAACUCGACCUCAUGAAGUCGGAGUCGCUAGUAAUCGCAGAUCAGCAACGCUGCGGUGAAUACGUUCCCGGGCCUGUACACACCGCC